rnacentral:rRNA from 1 species
GACGACCGCUGGCGGCGUGCUUAACACAUGCAAGUCGAACGGAAAGGCCCUGCUUUUGUGGGGUGCUCGAGUGGCGAACGGGUGAGUAACACGUGAGUAACCAGCCAUUGACUUUGGGAUAACUUCAGGAAACUGGGGCUAAUACCGGCUCGGAGCUCCUGCUGCAUGGUGGGGGUUGGAAAGUUUCGGCGGUUGGGGAUGGACUCGCGGCUUAUCAGCUUGUUGGUGGGGUAGUGGCUUACCAAGGCUUUGACGGGUAGCCGGCCUGAGAGGGUGACCGGCCACAUAGGAACUGAGAUACUGCCCACAUUCCUGCGGGAGGCAGCAGUGAGGAUUAUAUCAUAGUGGACGGAAGCCUGAUGCAGAAACGCCGCGUUCGGGAUGGCGGCAUUAGGGUUGUAAACCGCUUUCGCUUGUGACGAAGCGGGGGUGACUUGAAUAGGAAAAGAAGCACCGGCGAACUACGU